GUUCUACUCCCUCCGUUCGGAAUUACUUGUCUCGGAAAUGGAUGUAUCUAGAACUAAAAUACAUCUAGAUACAUCCAUUUCUACGACAAGUAAUUCCGAACGGAGGGAGUAUUUA
rnacentral:pre_miRNA from 1 species